GAUGAACGCUAGCGACAGGCUUAACACAUGCAAGUCGAGGGGAAACGGCAUUUAGUGCUUGCACUCUUUGGACGUCGACCGGCGUACGGGGGAGUAACGCGUAUCCAACCUUCCCAUUACUGUGGGAUAACCUGCCGAAAGGCAGACUAAUACCGCAUAUUCUUCGAUGACGGCAUCAGAUUUGAAGUAAAGAGUUAUCGGUAAUGGAUGGGGAGGCGUCUGAUUAGCUUGUUGGCGGGGUAACGGCCCACCAAGGCUACGAUCAGUAGGGGAUGUGAGAGGAGGGGCAGCUACCCUGGGACUGAGCCACGGCCCAGUCCCCUACGGGAGGCGGCAGUGGGGAAUGUUAUACUAUGCGCUAAAGCCUGGUCUAACCACGCCGCGUGGGGUACAGAGGGCCGCCGCUAUGAGAUGUAAUCUGCUUGUGUAUAAAGAGACUGUUAGGAACGUGUCCCUAUUUGACGGUACCAUACGAAUAAGCACCGGCUAACUACGUG
rnacentral:rRNA from 1 species